CACAAUACUGAGAUUUACUUUCUUGUGCAGUUUGUAAUCUUCGCCCUCAGUGGGAAAGGAUGAGAUCGUUGAGUGUCUUAUUAGUGAUCCUGUGGCAUCGCUUGAGCUGGGUAAACAGCCAACAGAAGGAGGUGGAGCAGCAUCCUGAGUCCCUCAGUGUUCCAGAGGGAGCCACUGCCUCUCUCAACUGCACUUAUAAGAAUAGUGCUUAUCAGUACUUCAUGUGGUACAGACAGUAUUCUGGGAAAGGCCCUAAGCUUCUGGCAUCUACAUAUUCCAACGGUGAUAAAGAUGAAGGAAAAUUCACAGUGCACCUCAACAAAGCCAGCCUCUAUCUUUCCCUGCACAUCAGAAACUCCCAGCUCAGUGACCCAGCAACCUAUCUCUGUGCAAUGAGUACACAAUGCUCCCCCAACACCUGCAGCCUGCAUCCAAACCUACAGGGGCCCCAGUAA